ACCACUGCCGACAGACAGCCAUGGCAACUUUGAGACACAGGAGACUCCAGAACAGGUGACCCCAGUGAGCAAGGGCAGGAGACUUCUUUCUCUUCUAUAUGCCAUACAAAACGAAAAGAACUGUGUGUAUGCGAAAGCCAAUGUCUUCUAGGGAUUCUCAGCAAAUAUCAGGAUGAACUUUGGAAUGGAAGAUAUAUUAGUACUUUGUUUUUGCAAGCUAUCAUGCAAGGAAAAGAUAAACAACUAGCAGGAGUCAUGUAAAUACAGCUGGACUUUCCAGUGAUGUCAUCAUGUUUCAUUGUUUAUCACUCCUUGUUUGCACUAUUCCCCAAUAAAUACAUCCAGGUUCCAUUACCAUGUCCACUCUGCCAAAAAGAAAACUGCAGAUGAAGAGCAGAAGGUCAAUAACUUGCCCAAGGUCAAGUAGCUAUAAGCAGUGGAUAUAGGGCCCAACUCUAUGGCUACAGCAUUAUCCAUUAUAUUGCCCUGUAAAGUCAAAAUGGAUUCCAAAGCAGCUUUAUUCCCUUCCUUCCCUUACAGUUCCCAUGGUGAAGACUGCAUUUUCACGGAGAGAAUGAGGCCUGAGUCCAGCUACGGGAGGUGGAGGCUGCCUGUCUAGGGGCCAGGUCCUUGCCCUAGAGAGUUGAGACUACAUGGAGGCCACAGGCCAGAAGACAAGGCCAGCAGAAGCUGAGAGACGGCCGAGGAGGGCAGGACGAGCCAGAAAAGGGCUGCUCCUACUCUCUCCUGCUGUGGCGUUCAGCCUGUGGGCUCUACUUCAACUAAGUGGCCAUGUUGGUGGGGGCGGGCCUCUGUGGAGAGCCAAAUAGUGGGGGCAAUACACCAGUGAGGGAAACUCAGUGGGAAGGCACUGGAUGGGGCUCUUCUUGGCCUGCAAGGAGCAAACUCCUCCUCCCUCAGCAAGUGUUCACAGAGCCCUUAGCAUUGAUGGAACUUCCAACAUUAGACAGAACUCCCUCUGGGAAGCAGCCCCUGGGUUAGAUGCCCUUCUUCUGUGUCCUCAUAGCAUCCUGUGCUUAGUCCUAGCACCACAUCUUGAGUUGCAAUUAUCUGGCCGUGAGCCUCUUGAGACAGGGGCUGAAUUUUAUCCACUCUGUGCCCCUAAGGCCUGGCACAGUGCUUGGUAUAGACAUUCAACAAAUACUUUCCUUCAGUUGAAGGAUACAUAAUUUCGAGCAAUUUAGAUGUUAAAAAAAUGUAAGCGAUGAUCAUGGCAAUAAACUUCAGUCUCUCCGUUGAGAAAUUCCAAGGGCUAAAAGCUACCAUGAAGGAUGUUAAGAAAAAUAAUAUUUGAUUAUCUCCAAAGAGCAUUAACUUACAUGGAAACUACUAUUUCAGUGAUGUUUGAGCAUGGUUUAUAGACAAUUCUUGGUGCCCAAAUGGAUCAUCAUUACCUCAGGUAGCCCUGGCUUCAGCAGCUGCCUGGCCUGGGAGGACCCACAGUGUGACAGUGUGACCGGUGAUGGCAGCUGCUGAGUCUUACUGUUUUCCUUGUCAUCCUCCUAGUACUAGAGAGCAGGGAUGUGGCUACAAAUAUUUGGCUUUGCUUCCACAAGGUAGCAUCUGUUUAAGAGUAAAGAUAAAAAAACACAGUUCCAUCUCGACCGAAGUUGACUUUCAAAGACUGCUUCGACAGCCAAGUCACUAGAAUUAAUACUCAUGAAUGUCAUGCAGUACUUAUUAAGUUUUCAUGAACUGUUCUAAGUGCUUUAUAAUACAUUUACUCCUCAAAAUAACCCUACCAGAUGGGGAAUAUUAUUGGUCCACGUUAUAGACAAAGAAACCGGAUAGAAAGGUUUAAGUUACCUGUCUAAAUUCACCUAGAGAGUUAGGUGGUUGGGAUAGGAUCCCAACCCAGACAGCCUGGCUUGAGAGCGGCCGCUCAAAAUCACUCUGUUAUCUUACAGCUAAUGAAAACUGCACUCCAGAUCAUGACAUUUCUCUGCCAAAGAGUCUCCGGUGACUUGCACCAGGUUCAAAAGAAGACAUGAAAUCCUUGCCAUACCCCUCAAGGCCCUGUAGGAUCUGAUGCCUAACUCCUCUUCCCUUUCAUCAGCAUCUUCUAGUCGUAUUGUCUGACUUUCUACUCAGUGAACAGGCCAGGCUCAUUUCUGCCUCGGGGCCUUUGCCCUUGCUCUUUCCCCUGCCUAGGAUAUUCUUCUACUUGAAGGUUUUCCUGAUAAGCUUCUUCUCGGGCUUUAGACCUUGAUUCAAACAUCAGCUUCUCAGGACGUCUUCCUUUACAGCCCUGACUAAACUAGCACUACCCCCACCACAACCAGACACUUUCUUGGGGAUGGCCCUCUAAGAUCACAUUCACGGUAUAUCUCAUGACCCAUAAUCACCUUAGUUACAUAUUUAGUUGUUGAUUAUCUGUUUCCCCCACCAGAACAUAAGCCACAGGAGGGCAGGGUUCAUGUCUGUCCAGCUCCUAUGAUUGUAUCUGGUAUAAAACAGGUACAUAAUAAACAGAGAUACAAACAGUAGGUAUCUAAUACAUAUUCCCAUGAUACAUGACUAUAUAAAGGUAUGCCUCUUCUCCUUUGGUAAUUAGUCACAGUGUAAGAUAUAGAACAUGCCUUAGAAAUGAGGAAGGGGUGACAGCCUAAUAUGUAAAUACCUUUAACGAGCCCACUCUGGGGUGCCUGGGUGGCUCAACUGGUUAAGCGUCUGACUUUGGCUAAGCUCACAAUCUCCCAAUUCUCAGGUUUGAGCCCCGUGUCAUGCUCUGUGCUGACAGCUCAGAGCCUGGAGCCUGCUUUGGAUUCUGUGUCUCCCUCUCUCUCUCUGCCCCUCUCCCACUCACACUCUGUCUCUCUCUCUCAAAACACACACACACACACACACACACACACACACACACACACAACAAGCCAACUCCUGUCUCCAUAUUCUUUGCCCUCUGAUCUGACCAUGCCCUCUUGGGUACCUCUCUUCUUUCUUGUCUUUUGAGUCCCUCGAUCUCUGAAUUAACAGUGUCAUCUUCAAGUUAAUGUGUUUCUCAAUCCACAUAUAGUUUGCUAUGCAAACUCCUGCCAUAUUCAAAGAUUAGGUCUAAAUAGCCCUCUUUUGAGAAUUGGUGGAGUGGAAGAAAAUAUCUUUCAAAUGGGGAAUUAUAUGCAUUUAGUUUCAUUUUUCUCUCUGUUCAUUUGACUUUUCCCUUUGCACAUUUUUCUCUCUGCACAAUGCUCAUAAACUACAGGCUGUACUAAGGCAGACAAGUUGUUUACAUGGCCACAUUCCCAUGCUUAGCCAUGACCACGUGGGGAUUAUUUCUUUAGUACAUAGAACUUUCUUGUAUAUGUGUACUAGUGCAAAGUGCAUGAUACCCAUUUUUAUUAGCUAGAUAAACAUAGCUGGUUUUCUGCAUUUAUUCAAACUCUGAUCUCCUCUAAGUUUGUCAACAAAUGCAAAGCAGCAUUUACAGCAACAUUAGUUCUGUUAUAAAUUUUCACAAAAUGAAUCAAUUAAUAGCUGUCGAUAGUGUAGUAUUACUAAAUGCUCCAUAUUUAUGGGGAUAAAGCCAGCUCUGCUAAUUCCUGAUAUGUACUCACUUAAAAGAAACAUUUAUUGAGAACCUUCUGUAUUCCAGGUACCAGGCAAGAGAAUAUAGGUACCAGGCUGAGAAUAUAAAGUCUAAUGAGACUUUAUAUUUUUUUUCUAUGUCUUUAAGGAUCUUGUAGUAGAAACCUACAAAUAUCAUCCAUAAUGACUGUGACAGAGAUAUGUGUCAGGAGCUAUGGAAGCACAGAACAUUAGCCACCCUCAGAUGCAUAAACUCCAUCAGGCAGGGACUUGUCUAUUCCAUAUCUCAGUGUCUAGAACAAUGACUGGCACAUAAUAGUCACUCAAUAAAUAUCUGAUAAAAGAAUGAAUGAAUAAAUGAACGAAUCUAGAUCAGAUUGUACUACCAAGUAAGAUUUCCUAGAAGGAAGAUUGAGGACUCUAUUUGAGAAAGAAUGAUAGGGAAGGACAUUCUAACCAUCCCUGCUGGGAGAAACCCUCAAGCUAUUACAAACCACAGUGGGUGAUGAUGAAGCAUCUGUGAGAACAACUUGCAGAUAAACACAUUUAUUCAUGUACUCUUUACUGUUUAUUUAUUUAUUUAAAAGUUGUAUUUCUUUAAGUAAUCUCUAUACCCAAUAUGGGGCUCAAACUCACAACCCUGGGACCAAGAGUCAUGUGAUCCUAUUUUUAUACUCUUUAAAUCAGAAUUUUGUGGGGAUUGAUGGUUGGGUAUAAUAUUUUUUCCAUUUCAAAGAUGACUAUAAUAUUAUAUGGCAUAAGAAAAUGUGCCCUUUGGAAAACCAAGAAAAAUUGUCAUCAAGCCUCUUCUUUGUGAAUGGCACUUUCGGACUGAGAAGUGUUUUAUGAGUUAGGACAUAUCGUUUGAGGCCCCUGGCCCCUCACUCACAAAUCAACCUUUUAAGGAGCUUUGACUUCUGGGGACAUGUCUGUCAGUUGUCAGUGCUGCCUGACAGUUUCGCAGGUGCAAGGUGGUCAGACCUGCCCAUGAGUUCUUAAGAAUUAAAAAUGGUUUUCUACGCUGCUAUCAAACUUUAUAAAGUGCUUUCUAAGAACAAACCUGUGGUACACUGAGCAGAUAUUAUGAUAUCACUCCUCCUAUUUUAGGAAAUAAAAUCAAGGCUCAGAUUGAUUAACCAAUUUGCUGAAGGUCACAAAGUUAGAUAGUGGAGGAACUAGAUCAUGAUGUCAGCAUUUGGCUCCUGGCCUAGUGCUCAUUCUCCUGCCCUGCAUUCUCUCCUAGGGAACAGCAAGACUGGAAGCCUCAAAGAGCCACAAAAGACAUCAGACAAACAAAAGAGUGCACUCUUGGGCUCUAUCAAGUCCCGACGGUGAAAGACUGAUGCAGUAGGGUUUUCUGGACAUCACAGCAACCAGAUAUACCUGGGGGUGAUGUAUCAGUUAAAAUAGGAUAAAUUAUGUUGUAGUAACAAAGGACCCCACACUUUUAAUUUUGUAGCUUUAAAAAUAAUUAUUCUCACUUGUGCACUCCAUGAACAAAGGACGUUCUGCUUGUUGUAAUAUAUCAGAAACCCAGGCUGAGGGAGGCUUGAACUUGAUGUGCUUCCAUAAUCCCAGAGGUGGGGAGAAGAAUAUGGUUGAUGGUAUGCUGGCUCUGCCUAGAAGUGACAAAUGUCAUUCCACUCUAUUUUAUUGACUAAAGCAAAUCACAUGGUCAAGUCUGCCAUCCAUACUCUCCCAGGGAAGGGAAAUGAAUUCCCUGAACAUUAGUACAGUCUACCACACAUGCUCAAGCAGCUUUUGUCAUCCUUUAAAUCUAUAACAGGUAUGAACAGCAUCAUCGUCGAACCAGCACCUCUGAAUCUAAAAGACAAUCACUGAUCUCUCACUUGACCAGGCUCUCAACACUUUGUGCUUCUGCCAGAGGAUAUCUUUGUGUAGGGAUAUAAUCUUUUUGCCAGAGUGAAAAGGGGAGGCUAUCAUCAGGGGCCCUGAGUUUUCUUUGUGUACCCAAAUGAGCUGCCCGGAAUGACUGGAAUCCUACGUAGCUAUGAAAUACUUUACUUUAGGGUAAAAGGAGUCUAAGCUCUAGGAAAGCGGGGACCCUGUCUAUUUUUCUCAUCAAUGGAUAUUUAGUACCUGGCACAAUGUGUGAAAGCUGCAGUGAUGAUGAUAGCUGACAACAGGCUAGCCACUUUAUUUGUAUUAGCUCUUUACAUCCUCACCACCCAAAGAAGGCACUGUUAUUAGCCCCCAUUUUGUUGAAAAGGAAAACGUAGCAUAGAGAGGUUAAGUAGUUUGCUCUAGCUCCCUUAGCUGAUGAGUACUGAUUUGAAUCAAGGAAGUCCACACUUUGAAGGACACCUGAGUGGCUCAGUCAGUUAAGCAUCUGACUCCGGCUCAGGUCAUGAUCUCGUGGUUCAUGGGUUCAAGCCCCACGUUGGGCUCUGUGUUGACAGCCUGGAGCCUGGUUCCGAUUUUGUGUCUCCCUCUCUCUCUGCCCCUCCCCUACUCGGGCUCUGCCUCUCUCUGUUUCUCAAAAAUAAAUAAACGUUAAAAAGAAAAAAAAUUUUAAAAAGGGAAUCCACACUUUUAACCCUACUAUGUCAAGCUGUAAACAAUAUGUGUUGAAUAUAUUAAUUAAUUAUUCACUUCAAUUUAUGAAUUUGGGGGUAGGAAUGGGGUUACAAGCAUUUCCUUGGCAAUUCAACACAAGGUACUACCUGACUAUUUCAGAUCUAACAGUCUAAUAUCCUAAUAAUCAUAAUCAUCAAUCAAUAGCCUAAGUAAAGGCUCAAUUAAGCUAUUUCAAAUAUCAUUUUGGCAUUCUAUGGAAACAAGGAGCCAGGUGGAGAAAAGUGAAAGAUGAUUCUUUGAGCUGCACACGGAGAAGACAGAAGCCAAGGAAACGAGGGCUUCAGUCCCUUCAACCAGCUGUGCAAAGCUCUGGCUUCAUUCUGUGUCAAGUGUUCUGUUGUUACAAACGCUACAAAAUAGAGCAGCCUAGCAAGGGUUACCAUUUGCCUUUUGGCUGGUGUUCUGAGGAACUGGCUCCUGGAGGACAGAUGGCGAGCUGUCAUUUCAGGCCUGCCUUUCGGCUCACCUGCAUGUAGCCACAUGAAACUUUCUAUUUCCUAAUAAAGUGUGUCCUAUCUCAUGUCAUA